AGUCGUAUGGUCUAAUGGUUAUGAUUUCUCGUUCACACCGAGAAGGUUCCGUGUUCGAUCCACGGUACGACUA
rnacentral:tRNA from 2 species